UAAUCUAAGAAAAAAAUAAAACAAAACAAGCAAAAAGGCAUAGCAACCCCAAGUUCCCAGUGGCCCCUGCAGACUCUGUUUCCACAUAUACCUGGCUUGGAGCAAGUUUUCAGGUGCAGAUGAUAGUAAGUAGACAAGAGCCAGCCCUCCCCACCUCCCAGGGCAGGGCUGUGAACUAAUUUUCAGGUGAGCAUGGGUGAGCCUGCUUGAGACACCUGUCCCCAGUGGAAGAGUUUGCAGUGACAGAGCUGGAGUUUGAACUUGAAUCUGCUCUCUGUGGUACCCAUACACCCUCAGAAUAUGGAAACCUCAAAGUCCAGACCACCGGCGCCUGUGGCCUGACCCCAGCCUUACUAUGAGCUCCAUGUAGCAGCUGACUGGGGUCUGGGGAGGUGGGGUACAGUCUGGAGCCAGCCCUCCUGCAGAGAUGAAACUGUGAUUCCAUUUAGGAGCCCCAGACAGGCUUGCUCCCCUCUUCCCUCCACAUCUUCUUAAUAAGAUGGAAAAUGUUAACCUAGGUCUCACAGGAUAGCUGCUGGGAGAACUGAUUUGGCCAGGAAGGCACUUGGAAGGAGCCUAACAGCUAACAUGAGCCCCACUGACCAGCUUUCCCUUGUGCCCCAGGGCCCUGCUAUGCACCUGCUGCUGCUGCUGCUGCUGCUGCUGCUGGCAGGUAUGAGUGGAGAAGUGAAACUGCGAUGUGUUUGGUCAAGACAUAGCCAAAUCUCAGGCUAAGGAACAGGAAGGAUAGAGGACAGACAGGAAGAGCCAAGGCUCUGCAGUCAAUUGCUCCUUGCCACCCUCUCCCCAGCAUUGCCUUCAAGAGGCCCAGUGAGGAAACAUUAUCUGUAACCCUCCUUACAGAUGGAAAAACCGAGGCAAAGACAAGGAAGAAAGGACACAGCUCUGUAACCAGGACCCAUGGCUCUAGUCCAUGUAGCAAAACCCAGCCCAAAGGAAGCUGCCUGUCCCAGACCCCUUGGCAUCCCUGCUGUCCUGGUGAAGGGAAGGAAUAUGUUUGAUCUGCCAGCCAGAACCCGUGGCCUCAGAGAUGUUGCUGGCUCAGCAAAGACCUGAAAAUGACCCGGCCUUCUGGCACAUGGUCCUCUCUUUACCACUGAACUCUGGCUUUCCCACUGGCUCUUUUAUCAGAAACCCAAAGGCAGCCAGGGAAGCCUUCCCUUGCAGGAAAGGAGCUGGGAGGCUGCCUGAUACUCUGAGGUCACCCUCAUUCCCACCUCUGCACACUACAUUCCUGCCGGUCCCAGUCCUGACUCCUACCCACAGGGAGAGAGUGGGCACUUUGGCCUGCAGAAGACACCUGUAAAACAAUACGACCCGAGUCAGGUGUGGUGGCUUGUACCUGUCAUCUCAGUACUCAGGAGGGAGAUGGCAAUUAAACUCUGCGUUUAAGACCA